rnacentral:tRNA from 1 species
UAGAGCGAUGCCUGAAAAAGGACUAUCUUGAUGUGAUAAAUUAUGUUAAAUUUAACUCUCUCUAU